rnacentral:rRNA from 1 species
UACGUAGGGUGCGAGCGUUAAUCGGAAUUACUGGGCGUAAAGCGUGCGCAGGCGGUUGUGUAAGUCUGACGUGAAAUCCCCGGGCUUAACCUGGGAAUGGCGUUGGAGACUGCACGGCUAGAGUGUGUCAGAGGGGGGUGGAAUUCCACGUGUAGCAGUGAAAUGCGUAGAUAUGUGGAGGAAUACCGAUGGCGAAGGCAGCCCCCUGGGAUGACACUGACGCUCAUGCACGAAAGCGUGGGGAGCAAACAGG